rnacentral:rRNA from 1 species
GAUGAGCGCUAGCGGCAGGCCUAAUACAUGCAAGUCGAACGGUUCUAGCAAUAGAAUAGUGGCGCACGGGUGCGUAACGCGUAACCAACCUACCCACAACUGGGGGAUAGCCCGCCGAAAGGCGGAUUAAUACCGCAUAAGACUACAGUGUGGCACCACAUAGUAGUUAAAGAUUUAUUGGUUGUGGAUGGGGUUGCGUAGCAUUAGCUAGAUGGCGGGGUAACGGCCCACCAUGGCGACGAUGCUUAGGGGACCUGAGAGGGUGAUCCCCCACACUGGCACUGAGGUA